rnacentral:lncRNA from 1 species
GCAGAGCAUCCUUGCCAUCUGGGCCUGCCAGGUCGUGCUCAUGGGCGCCGUCGAGGGCUACCGCGUCGCCGGCGGCCCGCUCGGCGAGAUCGUCGACCCGCUCUACCCCGGCGGCAGCUUCGACCCCCUGGGCCUCGCCGACGACCCCGAGGCGUUCGCGGAGCUCAAGGUGAAGGAGAUCAAGAACGGCCGCCUCGCCAUGUUCUCCAUGUUCGGCUUCUUCGUGCAGGCCAUCGUCACCGGCAAGGGCCCCCUCGAGAACCUCGCCGACCACCUCGCCGACCCCGUCAACAACAACGCCUGGGCCUUCGCCACCAACUUUGUGCCCGGCAAGUAAGCUGCUAGGUCUUGUAGCCACGAUCGAGUGUCUAGAAACUGAUCGACCGUGCACGUACGUACGUACGCGAUGAAGCGUGCGCAUGCAUGCAUGCACCUGGUUUCGUUUGUACAACCAUGAUGUAAAGUACGAAGGUUGAAUGCAAAAGUCUGUUGCUAGAAUUGGUGAGUGAUGAGCAAUCACCUGUGUUAAUUGACCGGUAGCUGAUCUUGCAAUCGAUCGGCUUUCAGUUUCUUAGAUCAGUAAUUGCUUAUCAUACAGUGGCUGCAGAUCUUUACAGCAGUAAAAGUAGACGCGUUUGGCGAGAAUUAAGUGAAACUUUUCGUCCAAGUGGAGAACAAAGUCUGUGAAAAGUAAAAUGAGUGAACUCCUUUAACUUCAGUUUGGACAGACAAGAGGCGAAGAUACGAACAUUUACAGCACAAGUAAACGAAAAGUUAUCCUGAUCCUUGCGAGCACUGCCUGCAAGAACUGAUCCACAACACAGAUACACUUGUGUGAAAGCUGAAAAUACUGUUAAGUAAUCGACGGCAAUCUGACGAACCUGUCCAGUAAUGGCGAAUCCAUGGGCGAGAAGCUACGUCGCAAGCUAAAGCAGGCAGCAGAACUCUCAGGAACGUUGCCCACCCUAACAAGCAGCAGGAAUCCUGAAGGAAAAGAGGCCCUUUCAGAAAUGACAGAGUAAGCAGAGGUAUAGAUUUUAAGGCUUCAAGCCACAGAACUGAAGAAACUAGAAAUGCAUGGCCUAGAGAGUCACUGGAAGAAAAUUAAAUUAGCAUGACAAGAUUUUAUGGGCUGCAAAGGUGUGAUGCCAAGUCAGACAACACAUUCAGUGGAGGUGCGGCGUAACGCUAAAUUAGCAGUAGAGCAAAACAAAUCAAAAUUUCGAACGGCGCCACAAUCUUGCUCCAGGGAACAAAAUUAACUUGGCAAACACAUUCAGUGGAGAUGCUUCUGUUAUUUGAACACCCAAUAUCCUCAGACAUUCCUCCUUUUCCAAAAAUUAACAAACAAAAAAAAAA